UACAGAGGCCCCAAGCGUUAGUCGGAAUCACUGGGCUUAAAGGGUGCGUAGGCGGGUCAGUAAGUGUCUUGUGAAAGCCCACGGCUCAACCGUGGAACCGCAGGGCAUACUGCUGAUCUUGAGGAAGGUAGAGGCCGGUGGAACGGUAGGUGGAGCGGUGGAAUGCGUAGAGAUCUAGCGGAACGCCAAUGGUGAAGACAGCCGGCUGGGCCUUUCCUGACGCUGAGGCACGAAAGCGUGGGGAGCAAACAGG
rnacentral:rRNA from 1 species